UAACCCAGGGCUUUGAAUGAUUCCACUCCAUCCCAGUUUCUACUGCCAACCUGGACCCCCUAACCCUGCCACUCCAAGACUCCAGCUUCUGAUGCCAAAUCUCCUCUUGACUAUCCAACAGGAAUCCCAACUGCUGUGAUUAAAUACCUCACAAAGGCAACUGAAAGAAGAAAGGCUUUGUUCUGACCCCAGUCCAUGGAAUGCUACUGCCCACCUUCUGGUCUUCACUACUCAGCUAACUUCUCUGGAAAUACCCUCAAGUGUGUUCCCAGGAGAAGUUCCGAGACAAAAUAAAACUGGAAAGAAUAUGGUGGUGACUGUCAUCAGCAGCAGAGAACCAGGACUGAUACAAAGAAGAGGUCUCUAAUGAAGAAACAGUGGAGACUGUCAUUUUGCUCAUUGCAUUGCAUCAUGGGUCAACAUUUCAGACAAGGGAAACUCUCUUGGCGAAGUCAAAUGUUUGGAGAGAAUUGCAGCUGGCCAAUCAAUACAAGGUCAAACCUUCUAUAACUCCCAGAGGUGCGGCAUUUUAUUAUACUCUUACUGUUUUCUGAAUCAAGGUCUAAUGUCAUACUGUGCAGCUCAGCCUGGCCUGGAAUUCACUGUUUAGAAACUCAAAUGAGAUCCUCUGGUCUCACCUUCCCAAAUAUAGGGAUUACAGACAUAUGCCAGCAUACCCAGCUUGAGUUUUGGACUUUCAUAGACAUUUCCUGGGGUCAAUGUUGACAGUGGGAUUUUGCCAUAAUUUUGUCAACCUUUUAUGUAGCUGACAUGAUGGGCAGAGUACAAAUGCCUCGGAAACCCAAAACUACCCAUAAAAAGUAGAAGGAGAUAAAAAAGUUACAACAGUCAGUGACAGAAAUAGAAACUGAAACCACAGAAAUUCAAAAAUGCACCAUUACAAAACAUACUUUUGGGGUGGCUGCUCCAGGUGGUUUCCAGAAGAGGAAGGGGGUGUAGGUGUCUUCAUAACAAACACUUCCGAGGGUACUGGC